rnacentral:rRNA from 1 species
UCUGUUUAGAGUGUUCCCAAGUAGCAGCGUACUCGUGAAAUUCGCUGUGAAUCUGGCGGGACCACCCGCUAAGCCUAAAUACUCCCUGGUGACCGAUAGCGGACUAGUACCGUGAGGGAAAGAUGAAAAGUACCCCGGGAGGGGAGUGAAAUAGUACCUGAAACCGUGUGCCUACAAUCCGUCGGAGCCUUUAGGGGUGACGGCGUGCCUUUUGAAGAAUGAGCCUGCGAGUUAGUGCUACGUGGCGAGGUUAACCCGUGUGGGGUAGCCGUAGCGAAAGCGAGUCUGAAUAGGGCGCUUGAGUCGCGUGGUCUAGACCCGAAGCGGUGUGAUCUAGCCAUGGCCAGGGUGAAGCGCGGGUAAGACCGCGUGGAGGCCCGAACCCACCAGGGUUGAAAACCUGGGGGAUGAGCUGUGGUUAGGGGUGAAAGGCCAAUCAAACACCGUGAUAGCUGGUUCUCCCCGAAAUGCAUUUAGGUGCAGCGUCGUGUGUUUCUCAUCGGGGGUAGAGCACUGGAUGGUCUAGGGGGCCUACAAGCUUACCGAAAUCAACCAAACUCCGAAUACCGAUGAGUGAGAGCGCGGCAGUGAGACUGCGGGGGAUAAGCUUCGUAGUCGAGAGGGAAACAGCCCAGAACGCCAGCUAAGGUCCCUAAGUGUGUGCUAAGUGGGAAAGGAUGUGGGGUCGCACAGACAGCCAGGAGGUUGGCUUAGAAGCAGCCACCCUUUAAAGAGUGCGUAAUAGCUCACUGGUCAAGUGGUCCUGCGCCGACAAUGUAGCGGGGCUUAAGCACACCACCGAAGCUGUGUCAUUUCGAGUUUACUCGGGAUGGGUAGGGGAGCGUCGUGUAGCGGUUGAAGCGGCGGAGUAAUCCAGCCGUGGACGCUAUGCGAGUGAGAAUGCAGGCAUGAGUAGCGAAAGACGAGUGAGAAACUCGUCCGCCGGAUGACCAAGGGUUCCUGGGCCAGGCUAAUCCGCCCAGGGUAAGUCGGGACCUAAGGCGAGGCCGACAGGCGUAGUCGAUGGACAACGGGUUGAUAUUCCCGUACCCGUGUGAACGCGCCCAUGAUGAACCUUGUGAUACUAACCGCCCGAAGCACC